GGGUUGUGAGGUUAAGCGACUAAGCGUACACGGUGGAUGCCCUGGCAGUCAGAGGCGAUGAAGGGCGUGCUAAUCUGCGAUAAGCGCCGGUAAGGUGAUAUGAACCGUUAUAACCGGCGAUACCCGAAUGGGGAAACCCAGUGUGACUCGUCACACUAUCAUUAACUGAAUCCAUAGGUUAAUGAGGCGAACCGGGGGAACUGAAACAUCUAAGUACCCCGAGGAAAAGAAAUCAACCGAGAUUCCCCCAGUAGCGGCGAGCGAACGGGGAGGAGCCCAGAGCCUGAAUCAGCAUGUGUGUUAGUGGAAGCGUCUGGAAAGGCGCGCGAUACAGGGUGACAGCCCCGUACACAAAAGCGCAUAUGCUGUGAGCUCGAUGAGUAGGGCGGGACACGUGGUAUCCUGUCUGAAUAUGGGGGGACCAUCCUCCAAGGCUAAAUACUCCUGACUGACCGAUAGUGAACCAGUACCGUGAGGGAAAGGCGAAAAGAACCCCGGCGAGGGGAGUGAAAAAGAACCUGAAACCGUGUACGUACAAGCAGUGGGAGCACCCUUUGGGGUGUGACUGCGUACCUUUUGUAUAAUGGGUCAGCGACUUAUAUUCUGUAGCAAGGUUAACCGAAUAGGGGAGCCGUAGGGAAACCGAGUCUUAAUUGGGCGUUAAGUUGCAGGGUAUAGACCCGAAACCCGGUGAUCUAGCCAUGGGCAGGUUGAAGGUUGGGUAACACUAA
rnacentral:rRNA from 1 species